rnacentral:sRNA from 1 species
GCUGGGUGCAGUGGUGCAUGCCUGUGAUCCCAGAUACUUGGGGGGCUGAGGCAGGAGAAUCACAAGUUGAAGGCCAUCUUCAGUAAUUUAGCAAGGUCCUAAGCAACUUAGUGAGACCUGGUCUCAA